GGUGGCUAGUUAAAUUCUGAUAAUGCAUUCACAGACGAGUAAGAAGUUAAACUACAUCAGAGAUUGGAGAAACUUUACUUAUCCACUCGUGCUGCCAAACAUUUUUCAAAGGGACGUUGUUCGGGGUGUGGAGGGCUACAUAGUGACAGUACCUAAGCAAGUGGAAAUAGGAACACAUACAAGAUAAUCAUUGCUUUAUCAGAAACAUCUUGAGCAAGACAGAGAACUGUGGAUCCUGUGUGAAUUUGAAGAUUGGUGAC